GAAAAAGCAGGGUCUUGUUGCAUUUUGCGAGUGUGGUUUUCGUCAACUUCAGGAAAAUUACUUGGAUUGUUAUUAGGCGAACCUCUAGAUCUUCUUGGUGACUGAAGGUUCAGUAAAUGAUGCCACAUUU